rnacentral:rRNA from 1 species
GCAGUAGCCGCGGGAACACGAAGGGUGCAAGCGUUAAUCGGAAUUACUGGGCGUAAAGCGUGCGUAGGCGGUUUGUUAAGUCUGUUGUGAAAUCCCCGGGCUCAACCUGGGAAUGGCAAUGGAUACUGGCAAGCUAGAGUGUGUCAGAGGAUGGUGGAAUUCCCGGUGUAGCGGUGAAAUGCGUAGAGAUCGGGAGGAACAUCAGUGGCGAAGGCGGCCAUCUGGGACAACACUGACGCUGAGGCACGAAAGCGUGGGGAGCAAACAGGAUUAGAUACCCCUGUAGUCCCUGUCUCUUAUAC